rnacentral:rRNA from 1 species
AUUGAACGCUGGCGGCAGGCCUAACACAUGCAAGUCGAACGGUAACAGGAAGCAGCUUGCUGCUUUGCUGACGAGUGGCGGACGGGUGAGUAAUGUCUGGGAAACUGCCCGAUGGCGGGGGAUAACUACUGGAAACGGUAGCUAAUACCGCAUAACGUCGCAAGACCAAAGAGGGGGACCUUAGGGCCUCUUGCCAUCGGGUGUGCCCAGAUGGGAUUAGCUAGUAGGUGGGGUAACGGCUCACCUAGGCGACGAUCCCUAGCUGGUCUGAGAGGAUGACCAGCCACACUGGAACUGAGACACGGUCCAGACUCCUACGGGAGGCAGCAGUGGGGAAUAUUGCACAAUGGGCGCAAGCCUGAUGCAGCCAUGCCGCGUGUAUGAAGAAGGCCUUCGGGUUGUAAAGUACUUUCAGCGGGGAGGAAGGGAGUAAAGUUAAUACCUUUGCUCAUUGACGUUACCCGCAGAAGAAGCACCGGCUAACUCCGUG